UGGUCGCGCUGCGUGGCUCCCACCUUACCCUUGCUUAUGCGCACCUUUUUGUUGUUUCCUCGGCGGGUCCGCCCGCCGAUGGGAAGCCCAUCAAACCCUUUGCAUCAGCAUGAAAACCUCUGAGCAAAAUCUAAAUAUUUACAACUUUCAACAAUGGAUCUCUUGGUUCUGGCAUCGAUGAAGAACGCAGCGAAAUGCGAUAAGUAGUGUGAAUUGCAGAAUUCAGUGAAUCAUCGAAUCUUUGAACGCACAUUGCGCCCCUUGGUAUUCCAUGGGGCAUGCCUGUUCGAGCGUCAUUUACACCCUCAAGCCCUGCUUGGUGUUGGGCGUCUGUCCCGCCACUUCGGCGCGGACUCGCCCCAAAGGAUUGGCAGCGGCCUGUCCCCAGCUUCUCGCGCAGCAGUUCGCGCUUCUCGAGGCAUAAGGGGGGGCCCGCGUCCACGAAGCCCAUUUCUUGACUUGACCUCGGAUCAGGUAGGGAUACCCGC
rnacentral:rRNA from 1 species